UGAAUCCAUAGGUUAAUGAGGCGAACCGGGGGAACUGAAACAUCUAAGUACCCCGAGGAAAAGAAAUCAACCGAGAUUCCCCCAGUAGCGGCGAGCGAACGGGGAGGAGCCCAGAGCCUGAAUCAGCAUGUGUGUUAGUGGAAGCGUCUGGAAAGGCGCGCGAUACAGGGUGACAGCCCCGUACACAAAAGCGCAUGUGCUGUGAGCUCGAUGAGUAGGGCGGGACACGUGGUAUCCUGUCUGAAUAUGGGGGGACCAUCCUCCAAGGCUAAAUACUCCUGACUGACCGAUAGUGAACCAGUACCGUGAGGGAAAGGCGAAAAGAACCCCGGCGAGGGGAGUGAAAAAGAACCUGAAACCGUGUACGUACAAGCAGUGGGAGCACAGGUUUACCUGUGUGACUGCGUACCUUUUGUAUAAUGGGUCAGCGACUUAU
rnacentral:rRNA from 2 species